rnacentral:pre_miRNA from 1 species
AAACAUUUGAACGGUAUUAGCGCACACGUAUGGAGAAGAGAGACGAGACAGGAAAGAGCGCUUUCCUGUCUCUUCUCUCUUUUUCAUACGUGUGCGCUAAUACCGUUCAAAUGUUAU